ACCUGGCUGGCUCAGUCAGUAGAGCAUGCGACUCCUGAUCUCAGGGUUGUGGGUUCAAGCCCCACAUUGGGUG
rfam:Felis catus isolate Cinnamon breed Abyssinian chromosome A2, whole genome shotgun sequence.